UACGAAGGGGGCUAGCGUUGCUCGGAAUCACUGGGCGUAAAGCGCACGUAGGCGGAUUUCUAAGUCAGGGGUGAAAUCCUGGAGCUCAACUCCAGAACUGCCUUUGAUACUGAGGAUCUUGAGUACGGGAGAGGUGAGUGGAACUGCGAGUGUAGAGGUGAAAUUCGUAGAUAUUCGCAAGAACACCAGUGGCGAAGGCGGACUCACUGGCCCGUAACUGACGCUGAGGCACGAAAGCGUGGGGAGCAAACAGG
rnacentral:rRNA from 1 species